rnacentral:lncRNA from 1 species
CCUGGCCACGCGCUCCUUCCACGGACCUCUUAUCCUCUUUCCCCUUCAUUUCUUCACUGUCAAAUCCACCGCGUACGAUUCAAACCUAUUUUUGCCUAUUCUGUUUAUUACAAAUUUAUAAAUAUUUUACAUCAAUCUCAACUAAACCAUAUUUCCACUAAAAUUUAUAUCCUUUACUUGGAUUCUAUUUAAGGGAUGCCAUAUUAUUUUCCAGUUGUAGUAUGUUAAGCAAGGAAUCAAGAUCCACGGACAAAAGGGUGGAUGAAAAGUAAUGUUGAAUAAGAAGCCCCCUGCAGGAAAGAAAAAAAGAAAAAAAGUAGGGGGACAAAGCCGGUGCCGGAGGGAGCAAGACGGACAGGUAAGCAAGAGGAUGGGGGGUUUUGUCGCGACGCGUGCGUCAUCAUCCACCAGCUGCUUCUCGCGACGACAUCACUACUUGUCCCGGGCCACGUGGCAUGGAUAACGCUGCUGACAUUGCCUCCCCACCUGUCAUUUUCGGCCACAUAUGCAUAGCCUGCUGACGAGUGGAUGACUCCACAAGCGCAGAGUGGUGGGCCCACUCACCAGAGAGAGGGGUGUGGUUUUGGGCCAGUCAUUCUCCUUCCACGUUUUCAAGGCAGUCUGAUACGGAGGAGAGUUUUGUUACACUACUCCUCGUUGCACGAUUCCCAUUCUCAUCCCACUCAUCACUUUGUCGUCUUCCCAUCACGUGUCACCGCACUCCUCAUUUCCCAAUUUCCACAAAUUCCUUUUAACCCUUCCGUCUUUUCUCUUUUCAAUCAUCUCGGUUUUAGCCUGGCAAAAUGUGAAUGGGUAGACGCAGGUUUAAAUUAAAAUUUGAAUCACAU